rnacentral:rRNA from 1 species
AUUUGAGUGAGUGGCGAACUGGUGAGUAACACGUGGGAAACCUGCCCAGAAGCGGGGGAUAACACCUGGAAACAGAUGCUAAUACCGCAUAACAACUUGGACCGCAUGGUCCGAGUUUGAAAGAUGGCUUCGGCUAUCACUUUUGGAUGGUCCCGCGGCGUAUUAGCUAGAUGGUGAGGUAACGGCUCACCAUGGCAAUGAUACGUAGCCGACCUGAGAGGGUAAUCGGCCACAUUGGGACUGAGACACGGCCCAAACUCCUACGGGAGGCAGCAGUAGGGAAUCUUCCACAAUGGACGAAAGUCUGAUGGAGCAACGCCGCGUGAGUGAAGAAGGGUUUCGGCUCGUAAAACUCUGUUGUUAAAGAAGAACAUAUCUGAGAGUAACUGUUCAGGUAUUGACGGUAUUUAACCAGAAAGCCACGGCUAACUACGUGCCAGCAGCCGCGGUAAUACGUAGGUGGCAAGCGUUGUCCGGAUUUAUUGGGCGUAAAGCGAGCGCAGGCGGUUUUUUAAGUCUGAUGUGAAAGCCUUCGGCUCAACCGAAGAAGUGCAUCGGAAACUGGGAAACUUGAGUGCAGAAGAGGACAGUGGAACUCCAUGUGUAGCGGUGAAAUGCGUAGAUAUAUGGAAGAACACCAGUGGCGAAGGCGGCUGUCUGGUCUGUAACUGACGCUGAGGCUC